CCCUUCUCAGUAUCACAAAUGGAGAGUUUCCAGUACUCUGCCAACCUUGGCUAUGGGAGGGAGAGACAAGCAGAGUCAUAUCCAUUUCAUUCCUAGCUUGGGCAGUGGCUAGGUAGUGGAAGGUAAUCUGCUACAAGU